rnacentral:rRNA from 1 species
AUUGAACGCUGGCGGAAUGCUUUACACAUGCAAGUCGAACGGCAGCACGGACUUCGGUCUGGUGGCGAGUGGCGAACGGGUGAGUAAUGUAUCGGAACGUGCCCAGUCGUGGGGGAUAACGUAGCGAAAAUUACGCUAAUACCGCAUACGAUCUAUGGAUGAAAGCGGGGGAUCGCAAGACCUCGCGCGAUUGGAGCGGCCGAUAUCAGAUUAGGUAGUUGGUGGGGUAAAGGCCCACCAAGCCAACGAUCUGUAGCUGGUCUGAGAGGACGACCAGCAACAAUGGAACUGAGACACGGGCCAGACUCCUACGGGAGGCAGCAGUGGGGAAUCUUGGACAAUGGGCGCAAGCCUGAUCCAGCCAUUCCGCGUGCAGGAUGAAGGCCCUCGGGUUGUAAACUGCUUUUGUACAGAACGAAAAGGUUUCUACUAAUACUAGGAGCUCAUGACGGUACUGUAAGAAUAAGCACCGGCUAAUUACGUGCCAGCCGCCGCCGUAA